rnacentral:rRNA from 1 species
GUGAACGCUGGCGGUAGGCCUAACACAUGCAAGUCGAACGGCAGCACAGUAAGAGCUUGCUCUUACGGGUGGCGAGUGGCGGACGGGUGAGGAAUACAUCGGAAUCUACUUUUUCGUGGGGGAUAACGUAGGGAAACUUACGCUAAUACCGCAUACGACCUACGGGUGAAAGCAGGGGAUCUUCGGACCUUGCGCGAUUGAAUGAGCCGAUGUCGGAUUAGCUAGUUGGCGGGGUAAAGGCCCACCAAGGCGACGAUCCGUAGCUGGUCUGAGAGGAUGAUCAGCCACACUGGAACUGAGACACGGUCCAGACUCCUAAGGGAGGCAGCAGUGGGGAAUAUUGGACAAUGGGCGCAAGCCUGAUCCAGCCAUACCGCGUGGGUGAAGAAGGCCUUCGGGUUGUAAAGCCCUUUUGUUGGGAAAGAAAAGCAGCAGGUUAAUACCCCGCUGUUCUGACGGUACCCAAAGAAUAAGCACCGGCUAACUUCGUG